rnacentral:rRNA from 1 species
GAUGAACGCUGGCGGCGUGCCUAACACAUGCAAGUCGAGCGAUCUUCUUCGGAAGAGAGCGGCGGACGGGUGAGUAACGCGUGGGUAACCUGCCUCAUACACAUGGAUAACAUACCGAAAGGUAUGCUAAUACAAGAUGACAUAAGAGAUUCGCAUGGAUUUCUUAUCAAAGCUCCGGCGGUAUGAGAUGGACCCGCGUCUGAUUAGCUAGUUGGUAAGGUAAUGGCUUACCAAGGCUUCGAUCAGUAGCCGACCUGAGAGGGUGAUCGGCCACAUUGGAACUGAGACACGGUCCAAACUCCUACGGGAGGCAGCAGUGGGGAAUAUUGCACAAUGGGCGAAAGCCUGAUGCAGCAACGCCGCGUGAGCGAUGAAGGCCUCGGUCGUAAGACGUCUGUCUCUACGAAGAGUAAUAGUACGGUACGUUACGUAGGAGGAAGGACCCGGCCGGUAACCUAACCGUAGUCCGACGCACGCCGCCGGUAACGUACCGUCGU